AUUGAACGCUGGCGGCAUGCUCUACACAUGCAAGUCGAACGGUAACAGGUUAAGCUGACGAGUGGCGAACGGGUGAGUAAUGCAUCGGAACGUGCCCGGUCGUGGGGGAUAACGCAGCGAAAGCUGCGCUAAUACCGCAUGCGAUCUGAGGAUGAAAGCGGGGGACCGUAAGGCCUCGCGCGAUCGGAGCGGCCGAUGUCAGAUUAGGUAGUUGGUGGGGUAAAGGCUCACCAAGCCAACGAUCUGUAGCUGGUCUGAGAGGACGACCAGCCAGACUGGGACUGGGACACGGACCAGACUCCUACGGGAGGCAGCAGUGGGGAAUUUUGGACAAUGGGCGAAAGCCUGAUCCAGCAAUGCCGCGUGCAGGAAGAAGGCCUUCGGGUUGUAAACUGCUUUUGUACGGAGCGAAAAGGUCUCCUCUAAUACAGGGGGCUCAUGACGGUACCGUAAGAAUAAGCACCGGCUAACUACGUGCCAGCCGCCGCAGUAA
rnacentral:rRNA from 1 species